rnacentral:piRNA from 1 species
UACUCUAUCUCAGUGUUGAUGAGGCCUGU